AUGGCAGAUUAUCAUUUAGAAACUGAAUCUAAUGUUAGUCCUGAAAUUAACUUUGUUGAACAGAAAAAUCAACACUUCUUACCCAAGGGUCUUCAACAUUUUGAUGAAAAAGGUGAACAAAUGAAGGAUAAGAUACAGAAUAAAAGUACCAUUCUGCUCACUCCUGGAUUCCAAGAUUUCUGAUGAGAAACCUGUUAAUCUUAUUGAAGAUCUACUGCAUGUGAUGGGUAACUUUUCUCUUGCUACUUUAAAAAUUUUCUCUGUCUCUGGCUUCUGAUCAUCUGAUUAAAAUGAGUCUUGGUGUAAAUCA